rnacentral:rRNA from 1 species
GCUCAGGAUGAACGCUAGCUACAGGCUUAACACAUGCAAGUCGAGGGGUAGCAGGGUAGCAAUACCGCUGACGACCGGCGCACGGGUGAGUAACACGUAUCCAACCUUCCCAUUACUCGGGGAUAGCCUUUCGAAAGAAAGAUUAAUACCCGAUAGUACUUUUUCGGGGCAUCUCGUAAAAAGUUAAAGAUUUAUUGGUAAUGGAUGGGGAUGCGUUCCAUUAGAUUGUUGGUGAGGUAACGGCUCACCAAGUCUUCGAUGGAUAGGGGUUCUGAGAGGAAGGUCCCCCACAUUGGUACUGAGACACGGACCAAACUCCUACGGGAGGCAGCAGUGAGGAAUAUUGGUCAAUGGGCGAGAGCCUGAACCAGC